AUGAUGGAAGUUAAUAGCAGCGGCCGCCCGGACCUCUACGGGCACCUCCGCUCUUUCUUCCUGCCGGAGGUGGGGCGCGGGCUGCCCGACCUGAGCCCCGACGGCGCCGGCCCGGUCGCGGGCUCCUGGGCGCCGCACCUGCUGCACGGGGUCGUGGAGGUGACGGCUAGCCCCGGGCCCACCCGGGACGCGCCGCGGGACAAUACCUCCGGCUGCUGGGAGCAGAUCAACUACGGCAGAGCCGAGAAAGUUGUGAUCGGCUCCAUCCUGACGCUCAUCACGCUGCUGACGAUCGCAGGCAACUGCCUGGUGGUGAUUUCGGUGUGCUUCGUCAAGAAGCUCCGCCAGCCCUCCAACUACCUGAUCGUGUCCCUGGCGCUGGCCGACCUCUCGGUGGCCGUGGCGGUCAUGCCCUUCGUCAGCGUCACCGACCUUAUUGGGGGCAAGUGGAUCUUUGGCCAUUUCUUCUGCAACGUCUUUAUCGCCAUGGACGUCAUGUGCUGCACGGCCUCGAUCAUGACCCUGUGCGUGAUCAGCAUCGACAGGUACCUUGGUAUCACGAGGCCGCUGACAUACCCCGUGAGGCAGAACGGGAAGUGCAUGGCCAAGAUGAUCCUCUCCGUCUGGCUUCUGUCCGCCUCCAUCACUUUACCGCCGCUCUUCGGCUGGGCUCAGAAUGUCAAUGAUGGCAAGGUGUGCUUGAUCAGCCAGGACUUUGGCUACACAAUUUACUCCACCGCAGUGGCAUUUUAUAUCCCCAUGUCCGUCAUGCUUUUCAUGUACUACCAGAUUUACAAAGCCGCCAGGAAGAGCGCCGCCAAACACAAGUUCCCUGGCUUCCCCCGGCCAGAGGAGCCUGACAGCGUCAUCUCCCUCAAUGGCAUGGUGAAGCUUCAGAAGGAGGUAGAGGAGUGUGCAAACCUUUCGAGACUCCUCAAACACGAAAGGAAAAACAUCUCCAUCUUUAAGAGGGAGCAGAAAGCAGCCACCACCCUGGGCAUCAUCGUCGGGGCCUUCACCGUGUGCUGGCUGCCGUUUUUCCUCCUCUCGACCGCCAGGCCCUUCAUCUGUGGCAUCGCCUGCAGCUGCAUCCCACUGUGGGUGGAGAGGACAUGUCUGUGGCUGGGCUAUGCAAACUCUCUCAUAAACCCCUUUAUAUAUGCCUUCUUCAACCGGGACCUGAGGACCACCUACCGCAGCCUGCUCCAGUGCCAGUACCGGAAUAUCAACCGGAAACUCUCAGCCGCAGGCAUGCACGAGGCCCUGAAGCUCGCCGAGAGGCCUGAGAGACCUGAGCUUGUGCUGUAAGGUCAUUUAUCACUGUUUUCCUUCUAUCCCCCCAACCCUCUCAUGGAACUCCUUUCUGAAGCACAUGGCAAAAAGCUUCCAGACCAGUAGCAAUCUUAUUUCCUCCCAAGUGUAUCAGAUUUGAGUCCAGAAUACUGUACUCUAGUCUUCCACCCUAGAGAGUUCCAAAAGCCAAAGAUAGGUAUUCAGGUGGAUUGGAAGAAGAGACUGAUUUGCUGAUGAAUCGCAGUUGAUGCCAUGGCUGACAAGGAAGGUGAUGUUUUUCCUCCUUUCUCUGAAAGUAGCAUUCACUUUAGGUCCUUAUAGCUCUAACUCUUGUAACAUUAUCAUGUUAGUUGCUAUUACUCUUAUAUCUAGUAAAGAUAAAAGAAAUAGUCUGAGGCAGUAGGGAGUGGUCAGUGUGGGGAAAUGCCAGAGUGGAGCAAAGUCUUGACAGAUACAGAGUUUUCAGAAAGUGCUACCCAACCAGGAGUUGGGAACUGAUAGAGAGGUGUUGAGUUUGUCUAGGAGGCAAGUAGUGACUUUUCAAGACACAAUUACAAUAGGACGUUGGAAUCUGAAAAAGGACCACAAAGAGCCAAUGGUGAUAAGGAAAUAUAACACACAUGUAGAUUCAUUUGGUUUUGUGAAGAAGGAGACAACAUAGCAAAGUCAUCAGGUCCAGUGAAGAUUUUGUUUUAAAUUUGAGGUAGAGGAGACAUUUUCAUAUUUGAAAACUGAGGGGAAAUAAACUAGAUUGAGGAAAUAGAAGGUGCUGGUUAGAGAACAGAUCAGUGUUGAAUGUGAGACAAGAGGUGUCCCUCUUCACUGAACCUUGUUCUUUGGAAUUGGCCAGAGAACCUUGGGCUACUGUAGCUGAGAAGGGCCUUCCCAGUCAUCGUGUCCAGUCCCUUCCUUUGACAGAAGACAUAACUGGGUCAUGGCGAGUGAGCUAUCAUGCAGGGGUCACUAGUACCUCUGGGUCUAGAUCCCACAUCAUGUGAAUCUUACCUCCAGAUGCUCUCCAUAUACUAGACUGCCUUUAUGUGUAAUCAAGCUGGCCAAGGAGACCUCUGUGCUCUCAGCUAUCUCAGGGGAAUAGGGUCCCAAAGUGCCCUCAUGGGUUAUGGUAGAUUCCAGGGCUCCCAACUAGGAUACACCCCAAACGACUCGGAAAACCUCAAGGAACUCAGCUUGUUCUCUAACUCAUCACCAGGAUGAAGGAGGCAGAAACAUCUCCCUAAUAUGGAUAAGGGAAACCAGAGAUCAUCAUUUCCUGUCCUAGGAACUCAAAGUUGUAAGACUACAGAUAUGCUAAUUCUUGAGCUGUGAAAUAGCUUUACAGCAAAGAGACUCUUACAGUCCCUGUCCAUUGCAGUUGUAGCGGAGUCACCUUGAGUUCUUGUCCUGAAUGCUGCCCCAUGGUGAGUACUGAAGCUUAGGAGUUCAGAGUGAAUCUGCCGUGUCUUUAUGGGCAAGGAAUCACUUAGGAGUGAUUUUAAUCACUUAGGAGUGAUUAAAAAGAAUAAGAUGAAAUGGGUCCUGUUGAAAAUUGGGAAGAAACCUCAUGACUCUUGAAACCCUGGAUGUCUGUGGUAGGAUGCUGUCUUAGAGACAAAGCCAAACAAAAAGUUGGUUGUUUCAUUAAUUUUUUUUCCCCUGAGUAGUAUUUUCCUCAUCAUUAACUAGCUGGAAUUCAACUCUUUAUUUUUAUUAAAUCAUCAAUUAGUACUAAUAAUAGCUUGUUCACUUCCUGCUUUGUAUUUGCCUACAUUUGAACUUUGCAGCGUCUCUUUAAAGUAAGAAAGGCAGGCAAUUGACCUCACUUGCUUCUUUCUAAUAUUUUUGUUUGUUUUCUUAGUAGACAGUAAAUACACACAGCCCAAGAUAAAAUCAAGCAGUAUAAACAUGUCUACAAGAAAAAUAAGCCUCAGGGGGAUGUCUUAGGAAGAAAAUAUCCAUGAUGGAAAUCAUGAAGGAGAUGAUCUUUGGGGACAAAACUCUGACUACUGUAGAAAAAAAAGUCAUGAUUCAUGAUCAAAAGCAGAAUAAUGGAGAUGAAAUAAACAAGGCAAGACAGAGGUGGAAACAGAAUGCAAUCAUUUGCCGAGACUUCGGAAUGGAAUGCGGCGUCUGUCCUUUCUUGGGAUGGCUAAGACAUGACCAGCAAAGUAUAUCCACUGUUCAGAGUAUAUCGUGAGAGGGAUGGUGACCUCUCCUUGUGUUCUGUGGAUCCGUGCUAUUGUGUGCACGUGAAAAUGGCCUGAUCGGCUCAGCUGUAAGCGCACACACAGAACUGAGUUCCAGAAAGAACACAGUUUCUGGUGCUUUGCUUCUGUUCAAGUCUGUGCAAAUGAAGAAGUUCCCAUGCAUACUUCCCAUGCUUUUGAGUCUAGGCCUUGUGGUGAAUAUCCAGGAAUCAUUCAUGAGACAGAUGUAUUUUGCUGUGGGACAGAGGGUGUUUUCCUCAGCCCACUGCGGUAAGCCUAGUGAUGAAUACAUUGCAUGUCCACAUUAGAAAACAGAACCCUGUCAUCAGCUACUACAAAUGAUCUCCCAGAGCAGUGUCUGUUCAAGGCUUCUGUCAAACAGUUUGGCUUUUUUGCAGGGUCCCUGUGACGUCCCCACCAGCCUCCUUUGUUAACUCGCUUCUCGUUCUGGAGUAACUCAGGAACAGAGCUCAGGAUGGAGUGAAUCUUAAAAGCUGAAUAAAGUGGUUUUUUUUUUUUAAUCACGCUCAAUCUUCUCCUGGGGGCUCCUGAGAGGGGAGGGGCAUUCCUCCUGUGAGGAGUUUUCCCUGGAUGGAGAGCAAGGGCUGCCUCCCUGCCCUGGACACGAACAUGAUGGUUGGCACAGAACUUGUGACUGUCCUUUAUACCUGGGUGCUGUGGGCCUGCGGGCUGGCUCCUAACUGUGAGGUCUGGGGGAGGAAGGAUGGUAAUAAUGGGCUUUCCAUGCAAGGCUGUGAUGCUUUUGGAGAUGGAGCGUCCUUGUGCUAAUUCUCACUGAGCAGCGUUGUAUGUGUGCCCCAGAGGUCACCUGGGGCAGUGUUGGGAAGCCUCUGGAGUACCAUUCUGUUCCUUCUAGAGGGUUGGUAUUUGUGUUCUCUGUAUCUGAAAUCACAUGUGUGCCUGGUCAAUUCUGUUCUCCCCUGUCCCUCCCCAAAGUGAUGGAUAUUCAGGGCAGGUCAGGACAUGGAAAAGUUCCCUUUGUACUUGGCAUUUUUUUUUUUUUAAUGGUUCUAUGUAAUAUGUAUGAGUUAGGGAGACAGAAAGUAGAUCAGAGAAGAGUACCUCUAAGGGGACAAAAUGAAUGCACACCUUCAUUUGACAAGAGAAUGGAAAGAGAAUAUUAUUUUCCUGCAAUAUGUGUAGCUGUUUUCUCACAGGAUAAUGUGGAAUUCCAGUGUGGAUGGCAAAUUUCUUCCAACUUUUCACUGACUUUGCUUCUUACCACACACAAGGAAGGGUCUGUCUCUCUGAAAGGGGAGGUGGGCACUGUCCUUUCUGACAAAGCUUGUACCAAUUCCUGAACUGUGGAUUUGCUGAAGUAACUGUAUAUACUUAUAUCCAUAAUUUAAAUGAUUCAUUCUGG